rnacentral:rRNA from 1 species
GGGGAAUCUUGCGCAAUGGGCGAAAGCCUGACGCAGCGACGCCGCGUGAGUGAUGAAGGCCUUCGGGUUGUAAAGCUCUGUGGGGAGGGACGAAUAAGUGUUGGCUAAUAUCCAGCGCGAUGACGGUACCUCUUUAGCAAGCACCGGCUAACUCUGUGCCAGCAGCCGCGGUAAGACAGAGGGUGCAAACGUUGUUCGGAAUUACUGGGCGUAAAGCGUGUGUAGGCGGCCUCGCAAGUCGGAUGUGAAAGCCCCGGGCUCAACCCGGGAAGUGCACUCGAUACUGCAGGGCUUGAGUGUCGGAGAGGUUGGUGGAAUUCUCGGUGUAGAGGUGAAAUUCGUAGAUAUCGAGAGGAACACCGGCGGCGAAGGCGGCCAACUGGACGAACACUGACGCUGAGACACGAAAGCGUGGGGAGCAAA